UCUAGAAGCAAAUCAAGUCAUAAGUUCAUGGAUGAAGAUUGCGAAAUUUGGUGGUGGUGAAAGGAGUUGAUAGCUCAUGGUUUUGAUAAGUUGUAUGAUGAUGGAAAGUGUAUUUGGGGGGUUCUCUAAGAGAGGUUGGGCCAACUCUUGGAGGAAGGUGGCUAGACGAGGCCACUUGGGUUGCUCUAGCCUAGUGUGACCUUAAAAGAGUAGUAUGGCACAAAAGUGGCAGCAUAACUUUACUCCAAAUCAAAUGUGAUUACAUGAUGGAGAACACCUCUACUUAUAGGCUAAGGUGUCUCAAAAUGGGCUGAAACUUUAACCUAAAAGAGCCACCUUGGUUGUCUUGGAGAGCAAGGAGAAAUCCUCUCCAAUAAGAGAGAGACAAGUAGCAAAAAAAUCCUCUCAAAUGAGAGAGUGACAUAUGGCCACUACCUAUGAAAAAACUCUCCAUUCCUAGAAUGACACAUGGCCACUAACUAGGAGGAAAACUCUCCAAUGGGAAGUGUCAUCAAACUCAAAACCAAUAAUCUUAUGAGCCACAAACAAUAUAUUGUUGGGAAACAGGUAGGCUUCGUUUUAACACCAAGAGGGGGGGGGGUGAAUUGAUGAAUUUUCAAAAUCAGAGUCUGUUGGGGGCAAAUAGGCAAGUGUACCGAGUCACACAAGUAAUAUAAAAUGGUAAGACCAAGUAUCAUAUCCCAGAGGACUCUCGGCACUGAACAGUUGUGUGAAAACAAGAUUAAUUAAGACUUAAAAUAACGAAGAUCAUAGAUUUGUGGUGGAAAAAUAAUAAAGAAAAUAAAUUGUAAUUGAUCAGUGGCAAAAGAGCAUAAAGUUGAACGGAGGUUGAUUUAUAUGAGAUGGCUAUGUUGUUGGGGUUAAAUUUCACCAAGUUCCCUCUCAUGUAUAUAAGAAUUCCUCUGUAUUCAUUAAUGCUAACGUCCCUCACGAAAACACUUAAACCCGAUCCCUCGGUCAAUAAGUUUGUCCCUAAUUACCAGUUCAUGCAAUCCCUAGCAUUCCCAGUAAAAAGAUAUGAAGAUCAAGAGGUUAAGACGACUAAGACUCAUACCCUCAUCCUUGAGCAAUAUAACCCUUAGGAGUAAUUCAACAAGGACCUGAAUUGAAAGGAACCUCCCGGCACUCAUGCAAUUCACAGAUAAUGCUAUUGCAUAAGCAAGAAUAAAGCAGAUGAAGUACUCUAACAAAUAAUGAAAUAAAGCAUAUGGAAUUAAGAACAAAUUCAAAUACAUGAGAGUUCACAAGGUUACAUCAUUCCCCAACAACAAAUAGAAAUUAGUUCCCCAAAGACAUGGGGGAACCUAUGAACAACGGAAGAAAAGAAGAAUAAUGGAAGACUAAGAAUUGGCUAGGAGUGUAUUGGAUGCUCUCUUCUGCCAGGGAUGCAAAACCUAGAGUCCCAGGGUCCUUUAAAUAGUGCCAAAAGUGUCCCAAAAUGCGGCCCGGUCCAAAAGAAUCAAAUCAAAGCAGAAUCAGGACCCGAUCCAUGUCAAAUCACGCUCAAGCGUCAUAGGGAGCUCGCCCAAGCGUGAAUCAAGGCUCAUGUGGCGCUUGGGCGCCAGUUUUCCUCGCCUGGGCUACAAGGGUCCGUAACCCAGGCGACCAGCUUGCUGUUUUCGCGUUUUGGCCGCCUGGGCUUCGCUUGGGCUUCGAGUUUUCUCCCUUCUUGGUGCCUUUUUGACCCCUUUUGAGCUCCAUCUUCAUGGCUUUUCACUUCCUCUUCCAAUAUUGCUUCAAUCUAUGUUAAAACAAGGGGAAUUUGUUAUAAAAUAGUUAAAAUCAACCUCAACUCUCUUAUUCACACAAUUGACUGAAAAUAUAUGAGUUCAAGCAAGUUUCUAAGUCAAAAAGUGUGCUUUUAGUAUCAAAAUCACAUAGCAAAUAAUAGUAUUUUAAUCCGUUAUCAGAGUCUUUUCACAAUCUUUGAUACAAAGUACAAAACUUUACAAACUUUCUUGAGUUGCUAGUAAUAGAAAAUUAAGUGGAUCGGAAAAUCAAAGUAGAGUACGUGAAUUGUAAAGUCGACUCAAUGUAAAAGAGUAGGGAUAGUGAAUUCAAAUGCGGGUUUUUAUACUGGUUCGGCUUCAAUUCCUACAUCCAGUGUCCUUCCAGUACCAGGAAGCAAAUGCACUAUAAUGGUCAAGGUUUUUACAACAAGGCUUUUAUAGAGACCUCCACGUCAAAAAUAUAAAACACCUCUCUAACCCUCUAACCAAAAUAUAGGCAAACCACACAACAAGACUUGCAACAAGAUAUCCCCUCUCUUGCAAUCUGCAACACACUUUGAACAAUCCUCAAAGUGUACCAGACUCCACGAGUCUAACCCCUGUAGUCACAACAGGUAACACAACAAUCACCACGGAUGCCAACAAGAAUCUUGAUCAACCUAGAAACACCUCAAUUGUGCAGAUUUUGAUCAAGCAAUGAGCGCGAUACAAUCCUCCUUCAGAAACUCUUCAAAGAAAGAUCACAAUCGUGUUCUUGAUGAGUUCUUGGAGCUCUAAUCUUCAAAGAAACAAUCUGAAACAGAAUAUGAAAAUGUUAUAUUUCCAAAGUUCUUUGAAACAACUUAGGUUUCGUCUAUUUAUAGAUUUCUAUAAAUCUGACGCUCCUGCAGUCGAUUAUGCUAAUAAUACAGUCGAAUGUCUUAUAACAGUUAUAAUAGUUAAGUCAAAAUAGUAGCAGUCCAGCCAAACAAAUUAAUUCCUCAUUCAAUACAGUUGACCAACAUUCAGUGCUCAACUAACUUUUAAAAAUAUAGUCGUUACUGUUCAUGAUCAUAAGAGAAUUCCAAAUCAAGCAACUAAUACAGUCGAAUGUGUGGCACACACAAACGACUUCGACACUACAGUUCACUUUGAAAUUCUUUUCAAUGCAAAAUCUCACAUACCACUGUUUCUGAAAAUUUGUGCAUAGUCACGAGCUUAAUUCGACUUUCCCAAUAAUGAAGUCGAUUUACAGCUUGUAGUUAUGCCAUACAAUGUAAGUUCAUAAAAGUGCAUGUGGUUUUCUUCUUUCAAAACAUGUGUAAUGAAACCAUAUAUGAUGUAACAUAUACAAGCUCAAUAAAUGUGCAUUCACAUAUCAAGAUAAACACAAAAACAUGUUCAACAAGAUAUCAAUCAAUAAGCAAUAGAACAUGUAACACAUCAACAAUACAUGUGUUAUUAAAAAUGUGUUGUCAUAAUAAAAAUCCAGAGUGAUAUAGAUAUUGUGUUGUCAACAAUCUCAACAAUCUCCCCCUUUUUUGAUGAUGCACAACCAUGAUUAAUAAAUAACCAUGUUUGCACAAUACCAAACCAAAUUAAGAGUAACCACAAGAUAUAACAAUCAAAUUUCAAUUCAAAUACUCUGAAUGCAAACAAUGAAUCAACAAUAUAUCAAGCAGAUAACAUUUCACAAUACUUCUCCCCCUUUGUGCAUUAACAAAAAAGGUAUGCUUCUAGAUAUGAUAUGCUGAUAAACCAAACAAAGAUGCAUCAAUAAGAAUGUAAGCAGUUUGAAAACAUGCAGUGAUGCUCCCCCUAUCAUAUAUAUUCACAUGAAAAAGAUAACUCCCCCUGAAGUGUAGCAUGUGAAGAAAAUAUGUGCAAGUGUGUAAUUCCCCCCUGCCAUUAUGCAUAUUUUCACAACAAGUAUAGAUGCACAAUGUAGUACAGUAACAAUCAAAGCAUAAAACUAGUAUAAGACAAAAUUGUAUCAUGUAUAUGAUUUCAAGCAAAUUCAUCAUGCAUAGAUACAAUGAUAAAAAAUCUCACAAUAUAAUCUCAUAUAUAAAAUAAGCAACAAAAUUAGAGAUAUAUUGCAGAUAAGCAGAAGAAAAUAAUGAAUCAACACAAUAACCAAAUUCCAGUGAAGGAAUUUAUAAUCCUGUUAAGAUCAAGUCGAUUGAAUUAUUAUCCCAGUCGAUUUCAUUGCUUCUAAGUGAGUUAGAAUUCCAGCAGUGAUUUCCAAGCAAUGUUUUCCUGCAAAACCAUUCAAAGAUCUAUUGUAGAUCAAGCAAUUUAGUUAUGCAAGAAAAAUAAUCCAUUAGGAAGUGAAUAUGCAGAAAAAUGUAACAGUGUAAACACGCAUAAUCAACUUCAAUUAAUUUUAAGUCGAUUCAAUACUCAUUUAUACUACUAUCAUUUAAAAUCCCUAGUUCAUUCUGAAUAGUAAAAAAUCUCUCCCUGUUGAGAGGUUUUGUAAAUAUGUCAGCCCAUUGAUGUAAGGUGUCAACAUAUUCAAUCUUGAUUUCACCCUUGAGGAUGUGAUCUUGAAUGAAGUGAUGCCUUAUCUCAAUAUGCUUGGUUUUUGAAUGUUAAAAGUAGUGGGAAGUGAAAAAGAAGUUGAAAUUUCAAAAGUAAAAAAUGGAGUUAUGAAAGAUGGUUGGAUGUAUUGAGAAAAGUUCAAGGAUUGGAAAACUCCCCUCAUCAUCUUAGUCUCAACCUUAAUUGUGGGAGUGGUAGGGUGCUUUAGUAACUCUUCCUCUUCUUCUUUUAUCUCAAUCUCUUCUUUUUCUCUCUUUUCUUUCUCAUUCCAUUCUUUUAUCUUUUUUCUUCAUACUAUUUUUUCCUCCUCCUUUUUCUCCCUUCUUACUUGCUUCUCUCUCUUUGUUCAUUCUCUCUUUUCUCAUGCUCCUCUUUCUCCUUUUGUUCUUUCUUCCUUCUUUUGUCUUCCUCUCUUCUUCUCUUUAUCUUCCUUAAAUCCUUUUGGACUUUUUCUUGAUUUUUAUUAAUAAUUCUAAUCUCUUCUUCCAACUUAGCAAGAUACUAUUCUCUUUCAAUUCUUUCUUUUUCUUUGAGAAGAGUUGCUUGCCUUUGCCAAAUUUUAAGUGACUUUAGCUCUUUUGCUAAAUUUUUCAAAGUGGGUUUUACAACCUCGCUAGAGUCACUUCCAAUUUCAUAGGAAUUAGUCUUACACAUCCUUAAAGGUUUUCGAAAAGAUGCAAUGCAACAAACAAAUACUUAAAUUUCAAAGAAAGUUCCUUAAGAGAUUUAAGGAGGCAAAAGACACCCAAGUUCACUUCCAGGAAAGGGAGGUGAAUCACAAUGGAUUUCUUAAAUACCAAACUUUUCCUAGCCAAAGUUUACCUUAGGCACUCUUGAACCAAAGUUGAAAUUAAACUAAGCUAUCAUAAUUAAAGUUGAAAUUGAAGUUGAAAUUAAAGUUAACACACACUAAGCUAUCAUAAUUAAAGAAAGCAAGUAAACUAGUUAUGCGGCCUAAUGAUUAAGUUAGAAGAACUUUUGUUCCUCCAACCAACCAACUAAAAAUGAAAUUUACUAACAAAUAAAGGUUCUUGUUAGGAGAUGGGAUUGAGCACCAAAGACUCCCCCAAGACACCUAACAAGGUUGUUAGUUACAAGAGAAAAAAAAGAAAAGAAAGAAAGAUUACAAAACCAAAAAUUACAACCAAAUCAAGGCUACCUCCUAAGGUGUUUCUCUCCUUUCUUUUUGGCUACCACUCUAGACUUUAAGCUCCCUUUGGGUCUCCACCACCCAGAAGGAUAACUCUAAGAUAUUGCAUCACCUCACAAAGAGAACCUACACCACACAAAGUAACCAAAGCCGAAAUUGUGCAAGAAGAAACAAGGGAUAAAAGCAAUAAAAAGGUCCAAAAACAAGAAAGGCUUUGCAAAAGGAAUUUAAUUAUGACAAAACUAAGAAAUCCAAGAAGACAAGCAAGAAAUUAAAGGUUAAGAAACAAAAGUUAGCACUCAAAAGAAAUCCUAAUGAAAGGUGCUAGAAUAGAUCACAAAACAAAAACUACUAGAAGAAAAGUAGGUGACUCUUGUCUUUUGGCAACUUUGAGCAAAUGGGGCACUAAGGCCACUAUUUUAACAUCAUAGCCAAGACUUUUAGACACUGGAAAGUGAAGAUAAAACCCCAAAAUAGUGAGAAAAACACGUUCCAAAACAGAUUGCACAAAAACAGUGGUAGUGGUCUAAGCACACAAUAUUUUUCAGCACUUUUCUAGGCUUUCUUUAGUACUCUUUUGAGGCCUUUUGCUUAAAAGCUUUUAGCACUUCUUUUUCCACUCUUUUAAGGUCCCAAAUAAGACCACCACACACUUGGAACAGAGGUGAUUUAUGGGUUUUAAAAGCCACAAAGACAAGAAACACAAAAUAGAAGAGAAUCCUACUAGAAUCGAAAUGGAGUUUAAAAUUAGAAAUAUCAAUAGGGAAAUUUUUUUUAAGAGCUUGCCAAUGAUCUAAUGGCAAGUAUGAACCCAAAACAUCAAAGAUAAGACCCUCGAAUGGUUGUAUAUGGUGCAUUUUAGCAAACUAAGUUAUAUAUAUUUUUUGAUGAUUUUUCAAAGUUACUAGAGAAAAUUGACAAGAAAAAAACUACACAUGACUCUAAACAAACAUGGAUGGAUUUAAAAAUUAAAAUGAAUCAAUCAAUGAAUUGCAGUUAAUAUAAAUCAAUAAAAGACCCAACAAAAUAAUAAGGAAUGACUCAAAAAAGAAAAGGCUCAAAACAGUAGCCAAAACUAACAAAACAUAACUUGAAAAACGCUAAUGACAACAUUCUGGCAGCAUUGACCUUUGCUGAGUGUUUUACCACUACUACAAAAAAGUGCAUGGAUAGCGCUUUUUUUUUUUGUUUUUUUUUUUAUCAUAGAUAGCGCUUUUUAAGCGCUAAAAAGCGCUAUCUAUUGGUGUUAUUUAAAUAAGCGCUAUCUAUUGAUGUUUGACAAUAGAUAGCGCUUAUUUAAAUAAGCGUUAUCUAUUGAUUUAAAUUUUUCAAAAAAAAAUAAUUUUUAAUAAAAUAUUUUAAAAAAUAUAAAAUAUUUUAAAAAAUAUAAAAUAUUUUAAAAAAUAUAAAAUAUUAGUUUUAUUAUAUAUAAACUUACAUUAUUUAUUUGUUCUAUUUUAUAAAAAAAAUAUAAAAUAUUAAGAUAAAUAUGAUAAAUACAAGUCAAGUCUAAAAAGAAUAUUCAACACUUCAAUGUAUAAAUAAAAUUUUUUGGUACAAUAAUAUUUCAAAAUAUAAUCAGCGAUGCAUCAAUACAUGUCAUGACAUGACAUUAUUUUAUAAGACGUAUAUACAACCAUAACACAUAUAUCCUAUUAAUACAUAUAAGCAUGUACAUCACCAUAAGAUAACCUAUAAACAUGUACUAAUUAUAUGUAAACAUCAAUCUUCCCUAGCUUCAAUAAUUUGAUUGUCACGAUAUUGUCGAUGUCUACAAUUAAAAAAAUACUGCAACAAAGAAAAAUAAUAUAAAAUUAGUCAAUAAAAUUUUUCGUGCAAAUUAAUUAUGACAAUGAACAUAACUUACCUUAGUUGAAAUUAUUCCUCCUUCACAUGUGAUAAUUUCUUUCAUAUAUCGACUCAUAAUACACAAUCGUUGCCAUUGAGUUGUCUUGAAUACUAGAAAACCAAAAGUAAAAAAAAUAAAUACAUUUUGACCAUAAUGGCAAAUCAAAAUUCUAGUAAACUCCAAACAGAUUUAGUGUAUGGUAACAAACAACUACAUACCUUGCUUUCAUUAUAACCAUAUUCCUCCAACCAAUUUCACAAUAAUAAUAAUGUUUUAUUCACUUGAACUUUGUAAAUAUUCUUUUUAAGAACUUUAAGUUCAAUGUCAUAAUAUACAAUUAUUACUCAUUUACAACCGUUCACAAUGUUGUUAAAGUAGAAGCAAUCUACCAAUCACCGCAUCCACAAAUGAUUUUGAUCCUGAAAUAAAAUGCAACAAUGUGUAAAGACAUCCCAUCGUAAAGCAUCACAUUACAAAAACUGUCAACAAAGAAUAAAGGUAGCAACUUUGAAAAAUAUAAGCAUCAAAUCCAAGACCGUGACAUUAAAUUAUAUAUGUACAUUGUCCGGUAGUUAAAUAUUUAUACUAGUAAUGGGUUUCCGCUAUUAAAACCCAAAGAACAGACAAUAUGGGGAAAUGAAAUCAAAUUACUUAAAUAUGUCUAAGGCAAGAACUCACCUGAAAAGGCAACUACAACAACUAUUUUUCUAGACACCUCUUUAAUUGUCACAGAGGAAUCUUUAGGCAGUGGCAUGUUAGCACCAUACUUUGAUGGCAUGACGAAAGACAUUCUCCACUUGUCUUGAUCUUCAAUCUAAGAUAAUACAAUGAUAAAUUAGAACAUCAUAAAUUACGAAUAUAUAUUGGAAAGAAACUCUUAGUCGAAUAGAUGUAUUGAUUAUUAAAUACAGAACUUCCAAAAUAUAAUAUCACAAAAUCCACACACUUAAGUGCAAAGACACACUAGUACAUUGGCUAUAUCAUAACAUAGAAACAAAAGGGGAAAAAUAACGAAAGAGGAACUUGUUAAAAUAAUAAUGUUAUGUUAUAACUUACGCCAUCUAAUUGGGAUAGAUAUAGAUAAUUCAUAAGAUGGAAAAUAGUAUCAAUUUAUCCAAUCUCACAUACUUAAACUUUACAUAUUAAUUAUUUACAUAUUAAUUAUACCAUGUGCAAAGCGACACUAGUACAUUGGCUAUAUCAUAACAUAUAAACAAAAGGGAAAAAACAACGAAAGAGGAACAUAUGACCUAAAUGGUUAAAAUAAUAGUGGUAUGUUAUAACACCAUAUAAUUGGGAUAGAUUAGGUAAUUCAUAAGAUAGAAAAUAGUAUCAAUUUAUCCAAUCUCACACACUUAAACUAUACUUAUUAAUUAGACCAUGUGUUAAAGAACAUAGGAAUUUGAUAGAAUUUUCAGGUGAAACCUUUAACUAUGUAUUUGGAUAAAGUUAAGAAAAAUCAACUUGAAAAAAUAUGCUAGGGUAGUUGAGACAUUACUGAAUCAUUAUGAAAGAUUUAUUUCAAAUGAACUUGAAUUACAUAAACAUGGAUUUUAAAUUGUGAAUUAUACUAUAUAAAACGUUCAGACCAUGAAAAUAAGGUAGAUGCAAUUAUUUCAGUAUCAUUAUUGACAAUGUUUGUUACAGUUAUAUAAAGAUAUGUUUCUACAAUUAUGUUUGCUGAAACGAAUAUAAUUAUGCUAAACUUGUUAGGCAAUGCAUAUAAAAAUAAAUAAGAUAAAGAUUGAAAAUGAGAUAUUUCACGAAACCAUAAAAUAAGUUCAACAUAUAUAUUCAAAUUAUCAUACCAGUUUUUAACUUAUAAUUAACACCUCUAAAAGGUGUAAUACAUACCACACUAAAUCAUGUUUUACUUACCUAACUCUGCACCAUCAAAACCAGUGAAAUACAUCAUAACUCUUAUCUUAAUUAAAAUAACAUGUGACAUUUGUUUCUAAACUAAAUAACUUCAUGCAUUAUAUUUCACAUCACAUAUCAGAACUUAAGCAAAGAAGGAUGCAACAUAUAGUAUAAUACCCUAAAAUCUUUAAUGACCACCAAUUUAAGCACUCGAACUCCCACUUUUUUUUUCACAUAUAAAUUCAAGACAACAUUUUCACCAAAUAGAUUCUUGUACUAAUUUUCCAUGAUUCAGACUUGUUAACAUUACAACUCCAGACAAUAAUAUUAUAUACCAAUCCCUAUGGGUGCUCACAAAUUUAUAACACUAAAAGAGUUCAAUAAUUACAUCUAAUAUACCUUAGAAUCAUAGAAACUCAUGCAAUCAUGUCUUGAAACACUAUACCAAUGUUAUUUGUUACAAUAAUGUGUAUAUCUAGUCCAACCAGAAAAAUAUAACAACACACCAUAUUUUCCAAGCCAUCUAGGAAUACCAUCCUAUCCCACUUAUUCUUGUCAGAAUAAAAACAUCCAAUUAUUAUUAGUAAACUCACACCUUCCAGACCCACAAAUCAAUUCCAAUUUAAAUAUAUUAUAACCCAACAGAACAUAUACAAAUUUCCAGCUUAUCAUCAUGUCCANUAUAGAUAGCCAAAUAAGAUUGCUCAUAGUUUUAAAAUACUAAUAAAUUAAUAAACACCACUGUUGCACCUUAGAAACAAUUAAGCUCACACAGUCGCGGUAUAAACAUCACAAAACGACUACACUAAUAUAUAUUUACCAACCAGAAAAUCUCCAUUCCCCUUUCCAAAAAAAUUGAUACUCAAUAUUUAUUCCUAAUUCGCAUAAAACAUGUAUUCAGAGAAAAUAUAGGUUGCAACAUAUUCAAACAACCAAUUAAAACCCAAUUAGUGAAAACUCUUCGAAUACCUCAGUUCUCACCUUCCGUGCCCGCUGCUCAUGGUUUUCCUCCGUCUCGUGUCCUCUUCUCCUUCUUUCCCAAAACGUAUUGAUGCUCCUCUCUCUUGUUCUCGCACCAAAGAACCUCCCAUUCGUCUAGGUUUUAGGGUUUCGCCCUUUCUCCAUUACUCACCUUAAAAUCUCACCUCCCCUCUUAAAUUCUCUCUUCCGUUACUUCGUUUGGGCCUCAGAUUCUCUUCUUCCCCUACCGUACCAAGAAUCCCUCUUUCUCUUAGGGUUUUCGAAAAGAAGAAAAAAGAAAAGGGAGAAGAGAGAAAACGAGAAAAAAGAAAGGAAGAAUGAGCUUCGAAAAUUUUUGACCUUGUCUACUUCUCAUGGCCUAUGGAUUUGGCAUGGAAGGCUUCUCUUCCUCUCUCUCGUGCUCACGCCGCUAUUUCAUCCAUUUGGCUAAACUUAGGUGUUUUUUUUUUUCGCUUUUGGACAAAAAGAAAAAGAGAACAAAGAAUGAAGGGAGAAGAAGAGAAGAAUUGAACUAACCUUUGAAUUAACCUUCUAAAACCAAAACCAGUGCUUUAAGAGUUAACUGAAUAAAGGAAAUACGUUUUCAGAGUUAACUGAAUAAAGGAAAUAGGCCGAAUUUUUUUUAAUUUUUAUAAUAAAUAGACACCUUUAAAUAAUAACUCUCUAUUAGUUUAUUUUAAAUUUUUAAUUAAAUAUAAUAAUAUAAAUAAAUAUAGAUAGUAUUAUUUUGAAAAAUGUUAUGAAUGGAAAAAGGGAGAAAAUUUUUGUUCAAGGAGAAACAUAGAAGAACAUGUAUAUGAAAACUUCUUUUCAAAUUUUUUUAAAACACUUAAUAGAUAGCGUUUUUUUUUAAAAACCAUUAUCUAUUGAUCUAUUUUAAUUUAUGAAUUAAAAAAAUAAUAUUAAAUAUAUAUAGAUAGCGUUUUUUUAAAAAAGCGCUCUCUAUUGGCAUAGGUUUAGAUAGCGCUUUCUUAAAUAAGCACUAUCUAUUGUUCUGAACAUUCAUAGAUAGUGCUUAUUUAAAAACGCGUUAUCUAUUGAACGCUAUCUAUGCUCAAUUUUGUAGUAGUGUAGUCAUAACUUUCUCUACAAAAGUCCAAAAGAAUUGAUUUUUUUUGUUUGAAACUAGACUCAAAGGGCUUUCAUUUGAGUAUUUUUAUGUAUAUUUUGGACAACUGGGAUAGAUGCAGUUUAAGUUUCAAAAUCGUCCCAGUUUACUGCCAGAAAAAAAAUGAUAAAUGAAAAAAAAACACAACAAUACAAGUAAGGAAAACAUUAAGCAACAAGGAAAUAACAAAGGAUAAAAACCAAGAAACUUAGCUCUUUGAAGAACCAAGGCUCUUGAUACCAAAUGAUGGCAAAAAUGCUCUAGUUAGGACAAGCAAAUCAAGCCAUAAGUUCAUGGAUGAAGAUUGCGAAAUUUGGUGAUGGUGAAAGGUGUUCAUAGCUCAUGGUUUUGAUAAGUUGUAUGAUGAUGGGAGGUGUAUUUGGGGGUUCUCUAAGAGAGGUUGGGCACAAAAAUGGCAGCAUAACUUUACUCUAAAUCAAAGGUGAUUACAUCAUGGAGAACACCUCACUAGUAGAAAAAGAGGAUUCCAUGACAGGCUAUUAUGAUAGGUGAAAUACACCUAUCAUAAUACAUGGACCAGUGACAAUUCUGUAAUAAAAAUAAGAUUUAUUAUGGCGCAUUUUAAGAAACUUAUCAUAAUAGAUGCAGCGGUGAUAUUUUCGUAAUAAAAGUUACAUAUAUUAUGACAGAUAAAAGGCCACCUAUCAUAAUAAAUUGGACACAGUGGCAAAAUUGAAAUUAUGGAAAAACAUAUUAUGAUAGAUAUUAAAAUAGCUAUCAUAUUAGGUGCAAAACUCUCUUUCAUUUUCCCUUCUUUCAAUCUCGGGCAACAUUCCCCAUUUCCCCGCCCUUCUUUCAAUCUCGGACAACAUUCUUCGUUUCCCCACACAACUUUUCUUUCUCUUCCAAUCGUCCCACAAAGCAUUUUUUCUCUCAUCCUACAGCACAGAACACUUGUCGCCUCCACGUCUGGCAACUGUACACAUCUCAAAGCCUCCAUGCCGCGCACACUAGUGGCAGUAUCCCCUU
rnacentral:lncRNA from 1 species